rnacentral:lncRNA from 1 species
GGUUAAUGAUUUAUGGUACUUUUUCUUGGUCAACACAAUUUUUUUUUUUUUUUGGCCCUUUAUGUUUUUUUCUUGGAGGAGUAGUCCUCUAUUUUCUUUCCUUUUACUUUAUUAAAACCAUUCUAUGUGCACUGCCAACUUCAUACAGGAAUAUUCUGAAGGUAGGUAGAAUAACAAAUCAUUACACAGCAUUUUAAUAUUUCACAUUUUUAUCUAUUACACAAAUUCUAUUACUAUUUGUUCCCCAAAUAAGGUAAAACAAGACUAAGAAAAUUACUUGUUCAUGACAGCAUAACUAAGAGGAUAAAAACCUUAAGCGUAAGAUUCUUCAAUGAUGAUGCACUGACCUCAUUGGGUGUAAGUCAAACAU